AACGCGAAGAACCUUACCUGGCCUUGACAUGCAAGUGGUAGAACCAUGAAAGUGGGACGACCCCGCAAGAGGCUGCUGUAUAGGUGCUGCAUGGCUGUCGUCAGCUCGUGUCGUGAGAUGUUGGGUUAAGUCCCGCAACGAGCGCAACCCUCAUCCCUAGUUGCCACCGGGUAAUGCCGAGCACUCUAGUGAAACCGCCCCGGAUAACGGGGAGGAAGGUGGGGAUGACGUCAAGUCCUCAUGGCCUUUAUGUCCAGGGCUACACACGUGCUACAAUGGUCGGUACAAACCGUCGCAAAGCCGCAAGGUGGAGCUAAUCGGAAAAAGCCGGCCUCAGUUCGGAUUGGAGUCUGCAACUCGACUCCAUGAAGCUGGAAUCGCUAGUAAUCGCAGAUCAGAACGCUGCGGUGAAUACGUUCCCGGGCCUUGUACACACCGCAUAC
rnacentral:rRNA from 1 species